CCCACGUGGAGGAUAUCCCAGAAGGAGGCCAAGGAGAUGUACGAGCUGGCGGCCAAGAUGGAGCAGGAGUACAAGCAUGUUAUAUCAGCCGUGAUCGCUGCCGCCGUCAACCUGCCCUACACCAGCACGCAGGUCAAGUCGUGCGUCGACCAGGAACAGUCCAAGACGCUCUGGGUGCCGUCUGGAAGCUUAUGAGACAAGACGUGGGCUGGAUCGCCACUCCCGGAGAUCUUCGUGACUCAGACAAGAAAGUGAUUAAUGUUGGCUUUAAAUAUUUACCUUCAGAGCAGCAAGUGUGUGUGUGUGAGAUUGUAUGGGUCAUUGUUACUGUCUAAAAUUUGUUGAUGUGUUUUGAUUAGACCGAGAAGAAAAAUCAAGUACAAACGUGGUGGUAGAAGUCCACUAAUUUGCAUUGCUUUGGUUACGCGGAAAUCCUGGCAGUCCGAGUCUGUGUAAAAGUGAAUUAUAAGCCGUAUUUUUUAAGUCUCGGCGCCGCAGUUCCCCUGUUUGAAAUGCCUCUCGUGGAAGGUCCUGGGGUUAUCAUGGGCUGUUUCGUGAUCCUGGAGAUGGCUUUACACGACUCCUGCAUCUUGAACAGGAUAACACCCCCAUGAAAACCCGGUUAAUCUUCUCUCUGUGGCCUUGGGAAAUGGACGUAAUAGGAACCUGAUAUGUUUAUGAAUACAGACCAUAAUCAUCCCAAAACAAAUGACAGUCGGAAAUCUCGAACGCAGAAAAGUGUGACGGGAAACAAUUGCUCAGAAUCCGAAGUUUUAAAUUAUCAAAAAAAAAACUUACGGAUUAACUGACCUCUACCGCAGCUACUGAAUGGCAACUCGUGCUUAUUAUUACCAUUGUUACACGUCAAAACAGGGCAGCCACUGAGCCCGUCUGGUGCAGCUAAAUGUAACCUAACCUAACCCGUGUAGCGUGAAGACUUGUUGACUCCUGUUAGCCUCAAAGAAGGGAGGGGGGGGGUAGCGUUCCCCUCCCGAUACCAAAGAGCUGUUUAGGCCGCGCAGGGGAGCCUCAAGGUGUUGUUGGCAGCUUAGCGUAACUCUUGUGUUGGUGACAGUAUUCCUUCUCACUCGUGCCUUAGUGGAGCUGGGACGGUAGCACAUACAAGGCAGCUGGGGUGUGCGUGAUAUACUGAGUGGGUGCUGGCCUCCCCUGAUCUCAGGUAAAGAAAUUAGCCUGACUUUAGUUGACUCUGUAGCGAUUACUAGCACAUUCAGCGACAAUCCGUGAGAAGCUUUAUUUGGUGUCCUGAGCCUGCCGGGGGCGGUCCGUCAUCGCCACCGCCGCCCGGCCACUCCGCAGGGCUCAAGGCGAAGCUCAAGGCGCUCCACUGUGUUGAUGCAAAAACUUUUUCACUAGAAUUGAUAAAGAAAGACAAAACUGUGAUUUCUUGAUUGCUCUGAUAACAUAGGAACCCUUGUGUCUUCCUUUUUGACGCUUAAGUUGUCUUGGGAACUUGUUUGUGUUCACCUAAAUCGUGGUGGUUGAUUUCCUCUUCCCUCCCAGCGUGUGGCGGCGCUGCCUCACCUGUACAGCUCGAUACAACAUCUCCCGAAUAAUAAUUUACCGAUUAAAAAUUUUUAUGUGCUAAGUUAUUUAUUUCAUGUGUACAUUCAGAUUUACAUAUACAUUAAUAUAUGAAGAUAUAUAAAUAUAUAUAAAUAUAUAUACAAAUAUAUAAAUAUAGAAACUAGCGUAUAAUGUUAAAUGUUGAUCAGAACUCAAGAAUUUAAUGUUGAUGAAUUUUCACGUAAAACAAAAUAACUCACUAAAUCUUCGGUCUUCGGUACGUCCCAUUCUUGGUCUUUCACUGUCAUUCUAAUCCGAGUACGAAGAGUUGCACUGCAUCGGUCUUCUCGGUCGCACUCUUGCUCUGCGCCGCCCCAGGACUGGCUGUUGGCGGCACUCGGCCUCAUCAACGCUGAGCCAGAGAUUUGUGGCUCACAGACCUCGGCAUAAACAGUCACGAUUAUAUUUUUUCUUCUCGUCUUUCAACAAAUUUCAAAGCUUGGAAUAUUUGAGGUUGAUGCACUGCACUUCUUUUUGAUUCAGCGAGUAUAAGGUUUAAAUUUAUAUUGGCGAAAACGCUUAUGGGUUUAUGCACUUCACUUUUUUUAUUCAGCAAGUAAACAAGUAAACACUUAUGAAUACAUUAUUUUGUGAUCCGUAAAAUAGUUAGGGUUUAUACACUCUACUUCUUUUUGAUUCAGUUCAUUCGGCAAUUACAAGAUAAGAUUCAUACUGACAAAACUGUUUUGCGGCUUGAAUGUGUUUGCCUUAUAAUAACUUUGACUGUUGCUGAUUUCACUUUCCAUUCGGCAAUUACGAGAUUAACCCGGUAGCAGCGGGGAUCAUGUUUCUUAAUGGUCCCUCCAAGCAAGAAAAAUUUUAAAAAAUCACCCCUCACACAAACCAUUUCAUGAUAUAUAUCAAAGCAUUUGAGAUCAAAUUAUGUAACAUCUAUUUUGGGGGGUAAAUAUCAUGGCACAAAUUUGGCCCGUUGCUGCUACAUGGUGAAGCCACAAAAUUGGCCCGUCGCUGCUACCGGGUUAAGAUUCAUAUCCACAAAACUGCUUAACGACUUGAAUGUUUUUGCUGUAUUAUUUUUUCCUCGACUGUUGCUGAUUUCACUUUCCAUUCGGCAUUUACGAGACACGACUCACACCCACAAAACACUUAUAAAUACCUACACACCUACAUACAUACAUUUUCUCGUGCUAACCCUUUCACACACGAACUCAAAACCUUGGAAUAUAUUUUAAGCAUAUGCACUGUGAACUUGAAUUUGUUUUUUCGUAUUUUGGGAAACUACAUGAUUUGAGGUUUGCCUGUUGUGAGCAUUGACGGCACGAAACGAUGCCUCAAAAGUUGUGCCCGUGUGUCUGUGGCUGGGGGCAUGCGGGGAGGUGUUGUCGCGGCGAGCCUCGAUGCUUAAGCCCCCAUUCACACCAUGUCGACUCUAGACCAUGAAAACCCAGCGACUGUUAGGCCCCUUUCACACUACGGCGACUCAGCAUCCAGCGAUCAUUUCUUUCUUUCCGAGCACAUGCGACAUUUCCACAUUAACAUUUCACCCUGGGUUGUCGUGGGCCAGAGUCGGCACAGUGCGAGUGGGGUCCUCACACCACGCCUGCACGCCCCGCACAGCCUCAGCAGGACCAUUGCCUCUGUCUCCCUCACGCUAACGACAACGAUUCAAUGCUCCGUGGCGUCAGUGGUGAAUGUGUUUGUUGCCGGGAGUGAAAUAUAUUUUGUAUGUAUGUGUUUGGACUCCUGUAUCAUACUGUAAUAUAUCCGCAGGUGUAAUUAAGGUGACGCUGUAUUAUGUUAUCUGUACUUUAUACAAAAAAUUACUGUGAGCAAUAACAGUGGAGAGGAAGAUGUAUAAAUGUUUCUUAGUGAAUAUAAGAUAUUUGUAUAAA